GGGGUGUGGGGGUGGGGGUUGAGGGGAAGGCUAUAGAGAGAGGUGUAGGGUUGGUUAUUUCCACACCAAAAAUCGUCAUCCUCUUUUUCAGUAAGUAGAAUGAGUACUAGCUGAACAGAGUUCCUCUCUGCAACUCCUCCUCCAUUACUGCAUUCGAAUUUUCGACAAUGGUGAACAAAAAGGUUUAUGUGGAUUUACGUGUUGGUGAUGUCAUCCGUUUUGGGCUGUGAGUAUCUUCUUAUCUUAACUCUCACCCUGCAACGUGAUUGACGAUCUCUUCGAUCUCUGUUUCGUUAUCUCUUCAAUCCCUGCUUUGCAACCUCCGUUGUUCACCCCGCCUUCUCAUCUCCGUUGGUAUUUUCACCAACCAAUGAAGUGCCCGGAGUUUGAACAUGAAAUGCCCAGGAAACCGCCCAAUUCAAGGUAUAUUUGAUCUCCGUUGCACACCUCCCCUUCUCAUCGCCAUCGCACACCUUACCAGAACUUGAAUCCAUGGCUCUGAUUUCUCAAUCCUAUGCUUCUUUGCUGUAUAAGAUGAGUUUGUGUGUUAUUACUCAGAAACGGGAUUUUUUUUUUCAUUAAGAGAGUGAAAAUCCCUAUCCUUAAGAUUUUCAGGGAGAAUCCGACAGCUGCAGACUCUGAUUUACUGGCUUUAAAUGGAGAAGUUAUUUCUCGGUUCACUUCCGUAAACCAACUUCUCAGUUCAGUUCUCAGAUAUGAGGUUUCUCAGCUACCUCUUUUCUGUAAUGAAACAUUUGAAUAGUACUCGCGGGGAUAUCCAAUUAAUUAGGUGAACUAUAUGCUCGCGCACCCUCAUCCAGUGGAACCUGUAACUGAUAGCUACAUGUUUUUCCUAAUUCUCACUAAACUGGAGCGUAUCUUUAUUGGACUCAUCAUGCGCGUACAUUACUCUCAAUAAGAUUCCUUUACAUUAAGUUUAUUGAGCAGUAUAAUCUUAUUUAAGUUUUAAUUGUGCAUUUUGAUAUGUAUCGAGGUGGACUGAAUGUUAUUUGUUUUGCAGAUAUUUUGUUCUACCUGUAGAGGGGAACAUUGGUGAGCUUAUAUACUCUCUCAUUGUUGCAAUCUCUAAUGAUUUAGUGAAUCCUAUUAUCCUAUCGUUGGAACAAUUCAAAGAGUGUUUUAGCCUGUAUUUCCUUCCGUUAUUGGCUCCUAAGGUAGAUUUUUCCCCUUACCCAGUUUACUGUUGUAUACAUAGGAGAUAUUGGGUGAAAAAUUGUAAAAGGAUGGUUUGAGAAUCAUCUGGAGAAUACCUCUUUAAUUCCCACUUUCUCCUUAAGAGUUGUAGUUCUUGGCAGUGUGAUAGUGAGAUAUUUUUAAAUUCGUUCCAAUUAUAGUAAAAGGUAGCAUACUUUUCCUCC